rnacentral:rRNA from 1 species
AUUGAACGCUGGCGGCAGGCCUAACACAUGCAAGUCGAACGAGUGGCGGACGGGUGAGUAAUUUCUGGGAAACUGCCCGCUGGAGGGGGAUAACUACUGGAAACGGUAUCUAAUACCGCAUACCAUCCGAUGUUCUCAGAGGGGUUUAGCUAGUCGGUGGGGUAAUGGCUCACCUACGCGACGAUCCCUAGCUGGUCUGAGAGGAUGACCAGCCAAACUGGUACUGAGAAACGGGCCAGCUUCCUACGGGAGGCAGCAGUGGGGAAGAUUGCGCAAUGGGCGAAAGCCUGAUGCAGCAAUGCCGCGUGUAUGAAUAAGGCCUUCGGGUUGUAAAGUACUUUCAGCGGGGAGGCGUUACCCGCAGAAGAAGCACCGGCUAACUACGUGCCAGCAGCCGCGGUAAUAC